GACGAACGCUGGCGGCGUGCUUAACACAUGCAAGUCGAACGGAAAGGCCCUGCUUUUGUGGGGUGCUCGAGUGGCGAACGGGUGAGUAACACGUGAGUAACCUGCCCUUGACUUUGGGAUAACUUCAGGAAACUGGGGCUAAUACCGGAUAGGAGCUCCUGCUGCAUGGUGGGGGAUGGAAAGUUUCGGCGGUUGGGGAUGGACUCGCGGCUUAUCAGCUUGUUGGUGGGGUAGUGGCUUACCAAGGCUUUGACGGGUAGCCGGCCUGAGAGGGUGACCGGCCACAUUGGGACUGAGAUACGGCCCAGACUCCUACGGGAGGCAGCAGUGGGGAAUAGUGCACAAUGGGCGGAGGCCUGAUGCAGCAACGCCGCGUGCGGGAUGACGGCCUUCGGGUUGUAAACCGCUUGCGCCUGUGACGAAGCGUGAGUGACGGUAAUGGGUAAAGAAGCACCGGCUAACUACGUG
rnacentral:rRNA from 1 species